AUUGAACGCUGGCGGAAUGCUUUACACAUGCCAGUCGAACGGCAGCACGGGGGCAGCCCUGGUGGCGAGUGGCGAACGGGUGAGUAAUACAUCGGAACGUGCCCGGUCGUGGGGGAUAACGUAGCGAAAGUUACGCUAAUACCGCAUACGAUCUGAGGAUGAAAGCGGGGGACCUUCGGGCCUCGCGCGAUCGGAGCGGCCGAUGUCAGAUUAGGUAGUUGGUGGGGUAAAGGCCUACCAAGCCGACGAUCUGUAGCUGGUCUGAGAGGACGACCAGCCACACUGGGACUGAGACACGGCCCAGACUCCUACGGGAGGCAGCAGUGGGGAAUGUUGGACAAUGGGCGCAAGCCUGAUCCAGCCAUUCCGCGUGCAGGACGAAGGCCUUCGGGUUGUAAACUGCUUUUGUACGGAACGAAAAGGCUCUGGCUAAUACCUGGCGCUCAUGACGGUACCGUAAGAAUAAGCACCGGCUAACUACGUG
rnacentral:rRNA from 1 species